UGUGCAGUACUUCGGUCAAUAGUUUCCUGUCGUUGUCAUCCAUGUUAAAAGGGCAGAGUUUACUGGUGGAUAAAAACAGGGACCUCUCCCACCAGCUGCUGGUUUCCCCUCCGGAGCAAACCACACUGUUCCUGCGGCAUUUGGAACAGUCCCCACCGUAACACCUGACCGUUGCAUCCACAACCCUGGAUGCCAAUGUGACACCCUUUGAUGUUACUGUGCAGAGUAAUAACCUGCUGUGAGACAACAGCAAUGGUGCAGGGAGGUUUUUGCAUGAUAAACAUCUUGUCUUUCCAAAACAGUUGACCUGAUGGAGAUAUCUCGAACGGUAUAUGCACUGCAAAGCUUCAAAGUUUACCCUUCAGAGUUUUUUCACCCUGGAAAAAAGACACAUGUCCAAGAUGGGGGUACCCCAACUUGAAUUCAUUCAACUCCAAAGUUUCUGCAUGUAUCAAGCCCUAAUUUUGCCUGUGAGGUUCAGAAGUGUCAGGAAUUCUGUGGUGCAAAAAUUAUUGAUUUUGAAAAAAGGUGGCUGGUGUGAUAGGACACAGACCCCCAUUACAACUUCCGUUUUUCGGUAGGGACGAUUGUAGUUCUGUGAAUUUUAGGGUAUAAAGUCUUUUUUUGCUCCCAGGCGUCCAUUUUUGGUGCACAGGUGCAUGCUUGGUAUUAAAAUGCUGGAAACUGUCUAAACUUUGAGGAGGUAUGAGCUUUAUUGAUGAAAGUUUGAAAUUCUGGGCGAGAGGACACAAGGUGUGAGGUAGUGAUGAGGCUGCGAGUGACGUCCCCUUGGCGUUGCUAGGCACGCCUCCCAGCUGCCGGCAUGGAAAGGUCCAGAUUUUGACGGUCAACCUAUGUCAAGAUUUUUAUGGCUUCUUUCUCACAGGCUGGGCCAGGUAUGCACCAAAGCUUAAUGGCCACGGAAUGUUUGGGACUGAGCUACAGCGCUAGACGUUAACAUUGUCGCUUAUGGAAAAUUAAU